GAUUUUUAUAAUUAAAAAAUAAUGAAUAAAAUAAUAAAAAAAUUUUUAAAUAUUUUAAUGGGGGUUAAAGUAUUUGUAAAAAAUUAAUAUAAAAUUUUAUAGUUUAUUAGUAUUGUGAAAGAAAUUUGAAAUAAUAUUAAAUAAUAAAUUAUUAAUAAGUAAUUUUUAUUUAUUGUAUCUUGUGUAUCAGAGUUUAUUAAUAAUUUUUAAUUUAAUAAAUUAAUUUCUCGAAUUUAAAAGAGUUAAUUAAUUAAUAAAGUUAGUGUGGAAAAAUUAUUUUUAAUAAUUAAUUUGAAAUGAAAUGUUAUUCGUUUUUAAAUAUAUCUAGUUUUUUUAGAAAAAAAUUUAAUUUUAUUUUUUUUUUGUAAAAAAUUAAUUUAUUAAUUUUUUACAUGAAAAAUAUUAAUAAUUUAAGGGAUAAGCUUUAAAUUAAAAUUUUAUAAUGAAUAAUAAUAAUAAUUAAAAAUUUUAUAUUUUACAUUAAUAAAAAAUUUUAAUUUUUUAUAAAUAAUUUUAAUUUAUAAAAAAUUUAAAUAAAAUAUUUAAAAUUAUAUAAAAAAAAAAAUUAUAAUUUUUUGAAUUUAAUUAUAAUGAUAAAAUUAUUAUAUGAAAAAUAAAUUUAAAAAUGUAAAUUUAUUUAAAAAUUAAUUAAAAGGAAUUCGGCAAAAUUUUAUAUUCACUUGUUUAACAAAAACAUGUCUUUUUGGAAAUAAUUUAAAGUCUAAUCUGCCCACUGAUUUAUAUAAUUAAAGGGCUGCAGUAAUUUGACUGUACAAAGGUAGCAUAAUCAAUAGUCUUUUAAUUGAUGACUUGUAUGAAUGAUUGGAUGAAAUAUAGACUGUCUCUUAUUUAAUUUAUAAAAUUUAAUUUUUUAGUUAAAAAGCUAAAAUAUUUUAAAAAGACGAGAAGACCCUAUAGAGUUUUAUAGUUUAAAAUUUAAUUUAUUUUGUAUUUAUAAAAAAUUAAAUAAAUUUAUAAUUAUUUUAUUGGGGUGAUAAAAAAAUAUAAUUAACUUUUUUUAAAAAAAAAUUCAUGUAUAAGUGAUUAAAUGAUCCAUAAAUAAUGAUUAAAAGAAAAAAUUACCUUAGGGAUAACAGCGUAAUUUUUUUUUUUAGUUCGAAUAAGAAAAAAAGUUUGCGACCUCGAUGUUGGAUUAAGAUAUAAUUUAAAUGUAAAAGUUUAAAAUUUUUGAUCUGUUCGAUCAUUAAAAUCUUACAUGAUCUGAGUUCAAACCGGUGUGAGCCAGGUUGGUUUCUAUCUUUUAAAAAAUGAAAUAUUUUAGUACGAAAGGAUCAAAUAUUUUAAUUAAAUUAAUUUAUUUUAUUUGAUUAUUAUUAAAUUAAUUAAUAAAAGUAAUAUUUAUAUAUAUAUAUAUAUAUAUAUAUAUGUAUAUGUGUAAUUCAUAU
rnacentral:rRNA from 1 species